rnacentral:rRNA from 1 species
AUUGAACGCUGGCGGCAGGCCUAACACAUGCAAGUCGAACGAGUGGCGGACGGGUGCGUAAUGUCUGGGAAACUGCCCGAUGGAGGGGGAUAACUACUGGAACCGGUAGCUAAUACCGCAUACCAUCGGAUGUGCCCAGAUGGGCUUAGCUAGGAGGUGGGGUAACGGCUCACCUAGGCGUCGAUCCCUAGCUGGUCUGAGAGGAUGACCAGCCAAACUGGAACUGAGACACGGUCCAGACUCCUACGGGAGGCAGCAGUGGGGAAUAUUGCACAAUGGGCGCAAGCCUGAUGCAGCCAUGCCGCGUGUAUGAAGAAGGCCUUCGGGUUGUAAAGUACUUUCAGCGAGGAGGCGUUACUCGCAGAAGAAGCACCGGCUAACUCCGUGCCAGCAGCCGCGGUAAUAC